UCCUUCUUGUAAAAGCAUGUGCUAACAUUACAGAAACUGGGGCACUGUCUUGGUUUUUGUACUAAUGCUAGCAGCGCACACACAGGAAGAAGAGUGAGUCUGCAUUCGAUCUGGAAAGACUGGGGUGGACCUCUUCUUCAUGUGCAGUGCCCUUUGUCUUAAGAUUUGGUGUGCUAAAU